rnacentral:lncRNA from 1 species
UUCUUUUUUCCAUUCUCUCUUUUUCAGGUUUUUCAUUGUUCUUAAUUCUCUUUAUUAACUAAUAAUGUGUAUCAUCAAUGAUCGAUCCUCUUUAAUUGAUUAAUGUAGAUCGUGUUACAAAGAUGGCUGCUUUUAAGGUUGGUAAAAUACUGUACAUCGUUGUUGUGGAUGAAGGCGAGAAUAAGGUGAAAGAAAACGAGAAGGAGUCGUUGUUGUUGUUGUUGUUGUUCUUCUUCUUCUUCACCAAUUCAAGGAAUUCAGAAAUCAGUAAGUUGAUCAAAAAACACAAACCAAUUCAAG